AGUGAGGAAGGUGGGUAUGUUAAUAGCAUACUCAUUUGACGUUAGCUGUCAGAAGAAGCACCGGCUAACCUCCGUGCCAGCAGCCGCGGUAAUACGGAGGGUGGCGAGCGUUAAUCGGAAUUACUGGGCGUAAAGCGCAUGCAGGUGGUUUGUUAAGUCAGAUGUGAAAGCCCCGGGGCUCAACCUCGGAAUUUGCAUUUGAAACUGGCAAACUAGAGUACUGUAGAGGGGGUAGAAUUUCAGGUGUAGCGGUGAAAAUGCGUAGAGAUCUGAAGGAAUACCCGGUGGCGAAGGCGGCCCCCUGGACAGAUACUGACACUCAGAUGCGAAAGCGUGGGGAGCAAACAGGAUUAGAUACCCCUGGUAG
rnacentral:rRNA from 1 species